rnacentral:rRNA from 1 species
GGGCUGCAGUAUUUUGACUGUACAAAGGUAGCAUAAUCAAUAGUCUCUUAAUUGGUGACUUGUAUGAAAGAUUGGAUGAGAUAUAAACUGUCUCUAAUUGAUUUAUAAAAAUUAAUUUUUUAGUAAAAAAGCUAAAAUAAUUUUAAAAGACGAGAAGACCCUAUAGAGUUUAAUAUUUUAUUUAGUAAUUAUUAAUAUAUGUAAUUUUAAAAAUUAAAAUUAAAUGAAAUAUUUUGUUGGGGUGAUAAAAAAAUUAAAUUAACUUUUUUUGAUUGUAAACAUUAAUUUAUGGUUAAAUGAUCCAUUUAUAGUGAUUAAAAGAAAAAAUUACCUUAGGGAUAACAGCGUAAUUUUUUUUUUUAGUUCAAAUAGGAAAAAAAGUUUGCGACCUCGAUGUUGGAUUAA